rnacentral:rRNA from 1 species
AACGAACGCUGGCGGCAGGCCUAACACAUGCAAGUCGAGCGAGGACUUCGGUCCUAGCGGCGGACGGGUGAGUAACGCGGGGGAACGUGCCCUUAGCUUCGGAAUAGCCCUGGGAAAGUGGGAGUAAUACCGGAUGAGCCCUUUGGGGGAAAGAUAUACCGGCGAAGGAUCGGCCCGCGUUGGAUUAGGUAGUUGGGGGGGUAAUGGCCUACCAAGCCGACGAUCCAUAGCUGGUUUGAGAGGAUGAUCAGCCACACUGGGACUGAGACACGGCCCAGACUCCUACGGGAGGCAGCAGUGGGGAAUCUUAGACAACGGGGGAAACCCUGAUCGAGCCAUGCCGGGUAAGCGAUGAUGGCCUUGGAGUUGUGAAGCUCUUUCAGCUGGGAAGAUAAUGACGGUACCAGAAGAAGAAGCCCCGGCUAACUCCGUG